AUGGACUCGUUGGGCCUCGGGAUGGGCAAGGACUGUAGGUGCCUGACCGCCCCUUUUAUAUGGGGUUCGAUCUGGUCCCAUCCCUUGGGAAUCCGGAAUCGCCCGUCAACCGAGAGGAUGCUGGUAUGCCCAACAUGAGCCAUGGAAGAUUCAACCACAACAGCAGCUUGUUUGAUCUGCAAGCAUGCACUUGUGGAGCGGCUGAACAUAUUCAAGACUCGGACAAACUUUUCCAAAACCCUGGUUUCAUCUAAGCUUUCCAAAUUAGUACAAGUUCCAUUUAAACAGGACUCGCUGGAGAACUCUCAGGAAAUCUGCAAUAGCUG